UACCCAUUCCCGACACGGGGAGGUAGUGACGAAAAAUAACAAUACAGGACUCUAACGAGUCCCUGUAAUUGGAAUGAGUACAUUCUAAACCCUUUAACGAGUAUCCAUUGGAGGGCAAGUCUGGUGCCAGCAGCCGCGGUAAUUCCAGCUCCAACAGUGUAUGCUAAAGUUGUUGCGGUUGAAAAGCUCGUAGUUGGAUCUUGGGUGGGUGCAGCCGGUCCGUCGCAAGGCGUGCACUGGCUGCGCUCGCCUCGCCUUCGGUUCUCCGUCGGUGCUCUUGACUGAGUGUCGGCGGUGGCCGAUAAGUUUACUUUGAAAAAAUUAGAGUGUUCAAAGCAGGCUGCUCGCCUGAAUAGUGUUGCAUGGAAUAAUGGAAUAGGACCUCGGUUCUAUUUUGUUGGUUUUCGGAGCGCGAGGUAAUGAUUAAGAGGGACAGACGGGGGCGUCCGUACUCUGCCGUUAGAGGUGAAAUUCUUGGAUCGGCGGAAGACGAACUACUGCGAAAGCAUUCGCCAAGAAUGUUUUCUUUAAUCAAGAGCGAAAGUCAGAGGUUCGAAGACGAUCAGAUACCGUCCUAGUUCUGACUAUAAACGAUGCCAACUAGCGAUCGGGAGGCGUUACCAUGACGACCUUCCCGGCAGCUUCCGGGAAACCAAAGUCUUUCGGUUCCGGGGGAAGUAUGGUUGCAAAGCUGAAACUUAAAGGAAUUGACGGAAGGGCACCACCAGGAGUGGAGCCUGCGGCUUAAUUUGACUCAACACGGGGAAACUCACCCGGCCCGGACACAGGUAGGAU
rnacentral:rRNA from 1 species